CCUUGGUACUUUCUGGUGACUCACAAAGAACAUCCUGUUUCACUAGAAUAAGCAAUACGUUCAUAGUCAUUAACCUCUGACUGAUUUUAGUAAAACGAGUUCGUUAUUCGUGCUGAUUUUAUAUAGAUUUAAAAUAUCAACAGGUUGGGAAUUAGUGAUGAGCAGUCUAUUUCCGCGAAUCGGUUCUUUUGAACAGUUUCAAAGCAAUUCAGUGAUCCGUUUACGCUAUGACGCAAUUACGUCCAUGCAUCUUCCCUUAAAUGUUCUUAAAUACUCUAAUAAAGCAAUGCUGUAUAGGUGAUACUUGCCUUUUUCGUAGGGAGGUUUGUUGUAAUGUGUCCCCGCUCAUAAAACCAUAAAGUCCUUUAGGAAAUUCGUUAAUAAUUUCACAUGUUUUAGGGGGGCUAAUUAAUGUGAUGUUUCGCGAUGCAAGUAAAAAUAUAAAGUCGCGCUUUUGAUUCGAGAAAAAAACCGUAAACUGAUUCGUACCGGUUUUGUUUACGGCUUCAAGUGAUUCGUUGAAAUGAUUCACCUCAAAAGGACGGUUCUUUCACAUCGCGGGAAUUUCUGCAUUGUUGCAUGUUCUGAGUUUAAGAAACUCCCACUCCACAGAAGGAUUUGAAAUAUGAUGUCAUGACAUGAAAAGGAAAGCGGCACACAAGCAUGGGCACAGCUGUGAUACAUUACCACACCAGCAAGACCAUCGUCCCUCCUGAAAGGACAGUGCAAGAUAUCCGCAGCGAAACAUGUCUGAACUCGGCUUUCUGAAGAUCGGUUUCAUCGGAACCGCGUUUUCCUUUCUGCUGGCUCUGUUUGGGCUGGUCGAUUCUGUGGGAGGUCUGAUGUAUCCUCAAGGACCAGACUGGGCAGACGACAACUGGACAGAGAAGCUUCCCACCGUGUCUUCAUCACAGACUGCUGCUGCUGCUGCCAACAACACCAAGCGCAGCGGGUCGAGGUGAUCUUCUCCACUGCCAUCGGUGGCGAGUCUUUAAUUGCACUAGGAGAAAUAAUCGGUGCAUUUAUGUCACUGACCUACUAAAGCCUGCUGUGGAAUUAUUUCCUCCAUUACACUACUGUGAGUCAGACAUGAAGAACAUUAAUAAUGGCUGGUCAUUCUACAAGUCAUAUGAGAUGUCAACUCUUCCCACUCAUUAGCUACUUUUUUUGCUUUGUUGUCCUGGUUUCCCGAAGAGCCUGCAAGAGUUGAAAACAAAAUCUUCGGAAAUGAUUGAAAGCUUAAAAAUACUACAAGCAUGCUACGUGAAUAUGCUGGACUCAAAAUAUUGAAAUCCCCCCUAUGGUCAAAAUGUUUUUGUAAUGUUUUUAUAAUGUUUGUUCCUUUUAUAUGCUGUUUAAAAGAAGACAAAAAUGACAUACAAUGUUAAUGUACACUGUGUUCGCCAUAAGAAACUGUGGCAUUAGGCAGCAAAACGUUGUUUGGGUUUUGGAUCUGAAAGAUAUCAGCCAGGUAAAAGUUAUGUUACUUAUGUUUAAACUCACUGUUCUAUAUUAAACUGAAUAAAAGUGUAUACAGUUGCACGGUA